UACGGAGGGUGCAAGCGUUAUCCGGAUUCACUGGGUUUAAAGGGUGCGUAGGUGGGUCUGUAAGUCCGUGGUGAAAUCUCUAGGCUUAACCUGGAAACUGCCAUGGAUACUAUAGGUCUUGAAUACUGUGGAGGUCAGCGGAAUAUGUCAUGUAGCGGUGAAAUGCUUAGAUAUGACAUAGAACACCGAUAGCGAAGGCAGCUUGCUACACAAUCAUUGACACUGAGGCACGAAAGCGUGGGGAUCAAACAGG
rnacentral:rRNA from 1 species